UACGUAGGGUCCGAGCGUUGUCCGGAAUUACUGGGCGUAAAGAGCUCGUAGGUGGUUUGUCGCGUUGUCCGUGAAAACUCACAGCUCAACUGUGGGCGUGCGGGCGAUACGGGCAGACUGGAGUACUGCAGGGGAGACUGGAAUUCCUGGUGUAGCGGUGGAAUGCGCAGAUAUCAGGAGGAACACCGGUGGCGAAGGCGGGUCUCUGGGGCAGUAACUGACGCUGAGGAGCGAAAGCGUGGGGAGCGAACAGG
rnacentral:rRNA from 1 species